GAACCCUAAACCCUAAACUCAUCCGAUAAAAUUGGAACGAUACAGAGAAGAUUAGCAUGGCCCCUGCGCAAGGAUGACACACACAAAUCGAGAAGUGUACCAAGUCGAA
rnacentral:snRNA from 1 species